rnacentral:rRNA from 1 species
GAUGAACGCUGGCGGCGUGCCUAAUACAUGCAAGUCGAGCGAACAGAUGAGGAGCUUGCUCCUCUGGCGUUAGCGGCGGACGGGUGAGUAACACGUGGAUAACCUACCUAUAAGACUGGGAUAACUUCGGGAAACCGGAGCUAAUACCGGAUAAUAUAUUGAACCGCAUGGUUCAAUAGUGAAAGACGGUUUUGCUGUCACUUACAGAUGGAUCCGCGCCGCAUUAGCUAGUUGGUAAGGUAACGGCUUACCAAGGCAACGAUGCGUAGCCGACCUGAGAGGGUGAUCGGCCACACUGGAACUGAGACACGGUCCAGACUCCUACGGGAGGCAGCAGUAGGGAAUCUUCCGCAAUGGGCGAAAGCCUGACGGAGCAACGCCGCGUGAGUGAUGAAGGUCUUCGGAUCGUAAAACUCUGUUAUUAGGGAAGAACAAAUGUGUAAGUAACUAUGCACGUCUUGACGGUACCUAAUCAGAAAGCCACGGCUAACCACGUG